rnacentral:rRNA from 1 species
AAGGCGUACGGCGGAUGCCUAGGCGCCAGGAGCCGAAGAAGGACGUGGCAAGCUGCGAAAAGCCUCGGGGAGCCGCAAGCAGGCAUAGAUCCGGGGAUAUCCGAAUGGGGAAACCCACCAUCCCAACGGAUGGUAUCCUAAGGUGAAUCCAUAGCCUUAGGAGGGGCACCGGGAGAACUGAAACAUCUAAGUAUCCCGUGGAAAAGAAAUCAACCGAGAUUCCCUAAGUAGCGGCGAGCGAACGGGGAAGAGCCCAAACCGGCCUUGUGCCAAGCCUGCAAGCGUUGCAGGGUCGGGGUAGUGGAAAACCGACAUGAGUUGCAGCUCAUGACAGCCGAAAGACUUCUUAGCUGAGUACUUCCGGAAAGAGUAGCCACAGAGGGUGACAGCCCCGUAGGCGAAAAGAAGUUGUAGGCUGGGUUUAUCCGGAGUAGUACGAGGCACGGGAAACCUCGUAUGAAGCUGGGGCGACCACGCUCCAAGGCUAAAUACUCCUGGCGACCGAUAGUGAACGAGUACCGUGAGGGAAAGGUGAAAAGCACCCCGUGAGGGGAGUGAAACAGAACCUGAAACCGUGCGCUUACAAACGGUCAGAGCCCCUGAUGAGGGUGAUGGCGUACUUUUUGUAGAACGGGCCGGCGAGUUAUCGUAUGCAGCGAGGUUAAGCAUCUCCAGAUGCGGAGCCGCAGGGAAACCGAGUCUGAACAGGGCGUUAUAGUUGCAUGCGGUAGACCCGAAACCGGGUGAUCUAUCCAUGGCCAGGGUGAAGCCAAGUUAACCCUUGGUGGAGGCCCGAACCACGUAGCCGUUGAAAAGGCUUGGGAUGAGCUGUGGAUAGGGGUGAAAAGCCAAUCGAACCCGGAGAUAGCUGGUUCUCCCCGAAAUCGCUUUAGGGCGAGCCUUGUUCAAGAAUUCCAUAGGAGGUAGAGCACUGAUCGGGCUAGGGGCCCUACAAGGUUACCGAACCCGUUCAAACUCCGAAUGCCUAUGGAGGGGAACAAGAGUCAGACUACGGGGGCUAAGCUUCGUAGUCGAAAGGGAAAGAGCCCAGACCGACAGCUAAGGUCCCAAAGUGUGGACUCAGUGGAAAAGGAUGUGGGAUUGCCCAGACAACCAGGAUGUUGGCUUAGAAGCAGCCACUCAUUUAAAGAGUGCGUAACAGCUCACUGGUCGAGUGGUCCUGCGCCGAAAAUGUAGCGGGGCUAAGUCCACCACCGAAGCUUCGGAUACGAAAGCGCUUGUUUUCGUAUGGUAGGGGAGCGUUCCUUGUGCACGGAAGCCGUACCGAAAGGCGCGGUGGAGCGCAGGGAAGAGAGAAUGCCGGUAUGAGUAGCGAUAAGACAGGUGAGAAUCCUGUCCGCCGAAAGCCUAAGGUUUCCUGAGCAAGGUUCGUCCACUCAGGGUAAGUCGGGUCCUAAGCCGAGGCCUAAAGGCGUAGGCGAUGGACAACAGGUUGAGAUUCCUGUACCACCGUGUGAGCGUUUGAGUGAAGGGGUGACGCAGAAGGGUAGAUACCGCCGGCUGAUGGAAACGCCGGUCCAAGCGGGUAGGGAGUGUGGCAGGCAAAUCCGCCACACAUGUAUCCUGAGCCGUGACGGGGAGGGAAAAUACAGUACCGAACGGGUCGAUCCCAUGCUGCCGAGAAAAGCCUCUAGCGAGUUCACCGGUGCCCGUACCGCAAACCGACACAGGUAGGCGGGGAGAGAAUCCUCAGGCGCGCGAGAGAACCCCUGUUAAGGAACUCGGCAAUCCAACUCCGUAACUUUGGGAAAAGGAGUGCCAUCAAGGGUGAAGUGAUAAACGCAUGGAGCUUUUGAUGGCCGCAGCGAAUGGGCCCAAGCGACUGUUUACCAAAAACACAGGUCUCUGCUAAGGCGCAAGCCGAAGUAUAGGGGCUGACGCCUGCCCAAUGCCGGAAGGUUAAGGGGAAGUGUUAGGGCAACCGAAGCUCUGAACCGAAGCCCCGGUCAAUGGCGGCCGUAACUAUAACGGUCCUAAGGUAGCGAAAUUCCUUGUCGGGUAAGUUCCGACCUGCACGAAUGGCGCAACGACUUGGGCGCUGUCUCAACAGGGGACUCGGCGAAAUUGUAGUACCAGUGAAGAUACUGGUUACCCGUGGCAAGACGGAAAGACCCCAUGGAGCUUUACUGUAUCCUGAGAUUGGAUCUUGGUAUGUGCUGUAUAGGAUAGGUGGGAGGCAGCGAAGACGGGACGCCAGUCUCGUUGGAGCCGUCGGUGGAAUACCACUCUUCACAUGCCGAAAUUCUAACCUUCGACCGUGAUCCGGUCGGGGGACAGUCUCAGGUGGGCAGUUUGACUGGGGCGGUCGCCUCCCAAAGAGUAACGGAGGCGCCCAAAGGUUCCCUCAGCGCGGUUGGAAAUCGCGCCCACAGAGUGUAAAGGCAUAAGGGAGCUUGACUGCGAGACCUACAAGUCGAGCAGGGACGAAAGUCGGGCUUAGUGAUCCGGUGGUACCGAGUGGAAGGGCCAUCGCUCAACGGAUAAAAGCUACCCUGGGGAUAACAGGCUCAUCUCCCCCAAGAGUUCACAUCGACGGGGAGGUUUGGCACCUCGAUGUCGGCUCGUCGCAUCCUGGGGCCGUAGUCGGUCCCAAGGGUUGGGCUGUUCGCCCAUUAAAGCGGUACGCGAGCUGGGUUCAGAACGUCGUGAGACAGUUCGGUCCCUAUCUGCCACGGGCGUAGGAGAUUUGCAGAGGAGCCGUCCCUAGUACGAGAGGACCGGGAUGGACGCACCGCUGGUGAGCCGGUUGUUCCGCCAGGAGCACAGCCGGAUAGCUAUGUGCGGCCGGGAUAAACGCUGAAAGCAUCUAAGCGUGAAGCCCCCCUCAAGAUGAGAUCUCCCAUCUCUAUAAGAGAGUAAGACCCCUGGAAGAUGACCAGGUUGAUAGGCUCAGAGUGUAAGCGUCGUAAGGCGUUGAGCUGAUGAGUACUAAUCGGUCGAGGGCUUGACCU